GAAAGAAUGUGGACUUCUUCUUAAUGGGAAUUAUUAAACUUCAAGCCAUUCCACUUUAGAAUGUGUUGGAUAUUAUCAUUCCCUAAGGAAUGAGAGUUGAAAAAACUGAGUAACUCUGCUAGACAUAUGUAAUACUUUGUGUCAUCACAGUAAGUAUGAAAGAUCUGGCACAUCAGUUGGAACUAAGAAAAAUUAGCAGUAUAUACAGAACAAUUUAGCCUGUUCUCAGAACAGUCUGAAGCAAGGCAGAACAGUAUUGCCUAAGGCAUGGCUUUCAAAACUGAAAGGCCAAUCCCAGGGGUUUUUGAGAUGAGAAUCCAGAGGAUGUGAGGCCUGCUACACUCCAAUUGAAAAAGGGAUAUUGACAACGUAUGAAGGGGUCUAAGCUUCUUUGAAAUGCUUGGUAUUGAAGCACAUUUCCUUUUGGCACCCUGACUGCCUGUGCUGGGCUGGAUGUUCAGAGGGGUGGCUCCCCUCCACACAUCAUGCAACUGAUGCUACGUGGAGUAAGUGGGUCUCACCAAUCACACAGUGGACUCAAAUAGGGAAUUCCAGUUGUCCAGGAAUCUUAGAAGUGAUUAUGGCCUGGCCCAAAGGCAAAAAUUUCGGAAUAUUGCCAGAAGAGGCUCUGCUAUAUAAUAAACUGCCAGAAAAUAUGCCUUGGUCACGGAUCAGUCCUGUCACAUUGUGAGAAGUCAUCGAAUGUGGAAAGCUACUGUGUGGAGUCCUACACAAUGAACUGCAGAAACUACUGAAGGAGAAGUGAAACCGAAGAAUGGAGGGCUUGUUAAUGCAGUCUGCAUCAACUCUAUGGCUAAUCGCUGCUAGAAUUUUUAUGACUGCUUUGUGGUAAAGAUGGUAUCACUGAGACUUAUUCUAGAUGAAUCAUUCAGAUGAGGAGGUUGUGACAUGUCUAGCUCUGGGCAACAGCUUCUUGGAAAGGGCUUUCUUCCAUCGUGUUGAACAGUUUUGACAAGCGCAGACUGAGACAGCAGGCAUCUUGCAAGUGAUACUCAAUAGAAAUCUCCCUGACAUGGAAGAAGCACGUCAGAACUGGGCAGAAUAUGGCA
ensembl:lncRNA